rnacentral:rRNA from 1 species
GACGAAUCAUCUGGAAAGAUGAAUCAAAGAAGGUAAUAAUCCUGUAGUCGAAAAUGUUGUCUCUCUUGAGUGGAUCCUGAGUACGACGGAGCACGUGAAAUUCCGUCGGAAUCUGGGAGGACCAUCUCCUAAGGCUAAAUACUCUCUAGUGACCGAUAGUGAACCAGUACCGUGAGGGAAAGGUGAAAAGCACCCCGGAAGGGGAGUGAAAUAGAACCUGAAACCGUGUGCUUACAAGUAGUCAGAGCCCGUUAAUGGGUGAUGGCGUGCCUUUUGUAGAAUGAACCGGCGAGUUACGAUUUGAUGCAAGGUUAAGCAGUAAAUGUGGAGCCGUAGCGAAAGCGAGUCUGAAUAGGGCGUUUAGUAUUUGGUCGUAGACCCGAAACCAGGUGAUCUACCCUUGGUCAGGUUGAAGUUCAGGUAACACUGAAUGGAGGACCGAACCGACUUACGUUGAAAAGUGAGCGGAUGAACUGAGGGUAGCGGAGAAAUUCCAAUCGAACCUGGAGAUAGCUGGUUCUCUCCGAAAUAGCUUUAGGGCUAGCCUCAAGUGAUGAUUAUUGGAGGUAGAGCACUGUUUGGACGAGGGGCCCCUCUCGGGUUACCGAAUUCAGACAAACUCCGAAUGCCAAUUAAUUUAACUUGGGAGUCAGAACAUGGGUGAUAAGGUCCAUGUUCGAAAGGGAAACAGCCCAGACCACCAGCUAAGGUCCCAAAAUAUAUGUUAAGUGGAAAAGGAUGUGGCGUUGCCCAGACAACUAGGAUGUUGGCUUAGAAGCAGCCAUCAUUUAAAGAGUGCGUAAUAGCUCACUAGUCGAGUGACACUGCGCCGAAAAUGUACCGGGGCUAAACAUAUUACCGAAGCUGUGGAUUGUCCUUUGGACAAUGGUAGGAGAGCGUUCUAAGGGCGUUGAAGCAUGAUCGUAAGGACAUGUGGAGCGCUUAGAAGUGAGAAUGCCGGUGUGAGUAGCGAAAGA